rnacentral:rRNA from 1 species
AUGCAUGGCCAGGAGGGCCAUGAGCUGCUACAGCCGGUAGUGCCCAGCUAUGCCAAGGCGCUGGUUACUGCUGCUGGCCAUAGUGGAGAUCCUACUAGCAGGGAGGGUCAGGGGAUCCAUCCCAUGGGUGGAGGCAACCAUUCACAGGGUGCAGCUACAGCCGCUGCUAAACAUGAUGGGCUUUUAUUCAUGCCCGGUGUGCUGGAGGCUCUUUCAGGGGCUGUUGCUGCUAGGCUGGCUGCUCAGGAAACAACAAAUGGUAAUGUGGCAUCUACUUUUAAUGCUGGGAAAAAUUCGGUGCAGGGCAAGCAAAAGAGGAAGGGGGGAAAGGAAAAAAUGUGGGAGUGUUUGAGAGAGCAGAGAAUGCACGUAAAGUAA